rnacentral:sRNA from 1 species
CUGUUACAUUUGUGUAUAAAAGUACACAGAAACUGAAGUAUGGCUGUCUUCAGUAUCAGACUAUAGUCUGCCUCAUUCUUUCAGGUUCUCGGAUCCCAGGUCCAGCAAACAAGAGCUGCAUAGAUCAGCGAAGUUGACACAUCACAAGACAGUUUAUUCUUCUGCACACAUCUCUACAACAGUGCUUCCCUUGUCCUUCCACUCUCUUAAUGGAGUCCUGAGCACACCCAAGGGUAAAUGAAUUGAGUGUUAACCUUGGUCACUGGCUGAGCAGUACCUGCAAGGGAUCUCCCACAUCAGUAAUGGCUGUGUUGACAUUUGCCCACACACAGUUGUCCUAUGACUUCAGCCUUCCUGAAUUAGUGGUUCUUACAGCUGCACUUACCUAGAACUUGGCGCUCCCUCGCAUGGAUUGGAAGCUAUCCAGUUACUGUCCUCCACCACCGGAAGUUAGCUUGCUCCUGAUACCUUACCAUUACAAAUAAUGCUGGGACAUGUAACUUCACCCUAUCAUUGUGCUUGAAGAAAGUCUUCAGAGUAGAUUCUUAAAAAUGACCUGCAGCUAUUCCCUGGGAGAAAGGAAAAUGGGGAAGCAUGCAUUCUAUCAGCUCUCUGAGUCCCAGGAGGAACUACUCAGACGGUGAGAGAAAAAAUAAUUUCCUUGUCUGUAAAAUGAGUCCUCUGGCUUAGCCCGUGCCUUUUGCCCUCGGAGCUCGGUAAGGAUGAAAUAUUUGUGAGUUUCUUUACUCCUCAGGAGAAAGUUAACUGCAUGUAGCUACUCCAGCAAACUAUCAGAGGAUCUGCUGCUAUGACCCGGGUGAGAAUCGUAAUGAAAGCUAAAAUGUGCUGUGUGGGAGCCUACCACUACGUUGUGCCUCCAGAUACUUAUUUCUGGUGGAUCAUUGUUAGAAUCCCAAUCAGCAAGGCUGCCACAGCUUGUCCUGUUGUUGAGAAUGUUGACAUGCUCAGUAUACAUACAAGAAGACAGAAAUAACUGACACUUGGGAUACUAUCUUUUCAGACAAGUUUUAUUGAAUCCUGCUAGACAUCAUAAGAAGAAAGCAUGGGGUGAGAGGG